GGGAGCUUAGAUGUGGAAGCUCUUUGGAAACCAAGAAACACUCUGAAAAUGAAAAGGGUGGAAGAGUAAACUGUUCCUGUUUCUCCAUCUUGACAGGAAGCAGAAGUUCUCCUUAGCUGAUUUUUCUUCUUGCCUUAUACUGGGUUCUUUAACACCAGAACAAAAAUAAAUAAAUAAAAGAAUCUUCCAGAAAUUCAUGAAGAGACUUCAGGUCAGGAAAGCCUGAACUUUCUCAUCCAACACCCGUUCAAGUCGGAGGAUGCUGAUUAAUUCAUGAUGGAAAGGUAUCAAUUUCACAGCCCAGACCUCUACAUUCUUGAAAUGCUCUUCUCAUGGGAGACAUUAAAUAAGCUUUGAAUUAACUGUCAGACGUUUGCUGAAUUCAGUUCUGAGCUUUUGAACCAAAAGCAGAUCUUCAGAACAAGAAACAAGAUAAUAAAAGAGAAACAUGAAGAAACUGAAGAUGAUUGGAGAAAUAUGAAUCAAGAUGAUUAGACCUAGCAGAGGGCUGGCUGGAUGGCAUUUAUGUUGACAAUGGACUCCUACACAGAGGAUGAUCAUGGUCUAGGACAUAAUAGUCAUUCAAUCAUCAUUUCUUAAAUGAUUUUUUAAAACAAGUGAAUGAAUGACCAAUUAUAUACCUUCCCUGAGCCAAUAAAAUAUAUUAAAAGUAUAGGCCUGGGCACAGUGGCUCAUGCCUGU
rnacentral:lncRNA from 1 species